AGUGAACGCUGGCGGUAGGCCUAACACAUGCAAGUCGAACGGCAGCACAGUAAGAGCUUGCUCUUACGGGUGGCGAGUGGCGGACGGGUGAGGAAUACAUCGGAAUCUACUUUUUCGUGGGGGAUAACGUAGGGAAACUUACGCUAAUACCGCAUACGACCUACGGGUGAAAGCAGGGGAUCUUCGGACCUUGCGCGAUUGAAUGAGCCGAUGUCGGAUUAGCUAGUUGGCGGGGUAAAGGCCCACCGAGGCGACGAUCCGUAGCUGGUCUGAGAGGAUGAUCAGCCACACUGGAACUGAGACACGGUCCAGACUCCUACGGGAGGCAGCAGUGGGGAAUAUUGGACAAUGGGCGCAAGCCUAAUCCAGCCAUACCGCGUGGGUGAAGAAGGCCUUCGGGUUGUAAAGCCCUUUUGUUGGGAAAGAAAAGCAGCAGGUUAAUACCCCGCUGUUCGGACGGUACCCAAAGAAUAAGCACCGGCUAACUUCGUG
rnacentral:rRNA from 1 species